rnacentral:lncRNA from 10 species
UGGCCGGCAUUGGUUAAGAAAUUUUAGCUCCCGGCAUGGUGGGCGAAGCCUCCACCUUCAGCGUCGCUCCUCCAUGCCUUCAGAGCAGUUCCGCCCUGCGGAGGGGGAGCCUUCCUGUUCUUUAACCUCUCCUACCUGACGGGAGUGAACGUAGCCAGGGCAGCUUGUCUCAGCAAGUAACUGUGAUCCCGCCUCCCCCAACGUGCUGGUUUCCUGACUUCCAAAGUGCCGAAAGUUUGAUUUCUCACAGACCCUCAAGGGUCUGGGAUCGUUUCCCAGCCUGCUCAAAGUUGCCAUGGAGUUCCUACCAUAUUUUAUUUGCAAGCCAUUUCUCCCACAUUAUUCUGGAAGGCUGAAGCCUGUCGAUGCAUCCAAAAAUAGAUCUGUCCUGGAUCUUUUCUCACAAGUCAGCCAGCUGUCAAGACACCUGAGAUGUGAUUCUUUCACAUGGCAGAGCCUCUCGUCAAAACAUGAACUGAGCUUCCUCUUAUCUUAUGGACAGCUGAUGCGUGGAGGUGGAUUUAUGAAUUGGCCUCAUGCUGCACUCAAGCAGUUUGGCCAGGACUCAAUGCUCAUUGCCAAGAUGAAAAUCAGCAAACUAGCAGUUUGCUUUUAUGAUGUUCUCCAGCCUGCAACCAAGACACUUAUCCUGGCCACUUCUUCAGCUCUGACAUAAGGUUGUGCUGAUAUAAAUGCAAACCCAGCUCUAUGUCUACCAAACACCUAUAUGGCUAGGACUGCAAAUGGAGCAUUUAAGCACCAGGCAAGAGGUCUUCCCAGUUUCCAACCAGACUUUGUAGAAUUUCCCCAAAAUACUGACUUAGCCUCUUUCAGACCCUAUCUCCCAAAGAGAAUCAGAGAGGGGCUCUGGAAGCCAUUUAGACUGUCUGGCCUCUUCCCUAGUGAAAAUGGACUUGGAUACAAAAAGGCAACCUACUGACCUCAAAGAUACCAGCCCAGAUACUGAGCAUGGACCUCCUGCCUCCCCAGGACAGACGUCAUCUAAGCCAGAUCAAAGCCCACACUGUUCCUCCAUGUGCACCUUUCAGACAUGUUCCUGAACAGCCCUCUAGAAUUGUCUGGAGAUGGGACAAGAGGUGAUGGAGCUCCAGGUUCAGAAUGGCUGCCUCAUCCCUCCCUCCUGAAAAGUCUAUACCUGCUGAUUAGAGCUCUCACACCUUAAGGGGCUUAGCCCUCCCCAAGCAGACACGUGGCGGGGUGCAGUGGCUCACGCCUGCAAUCCCAGCACUUUGGGAGGCCGAGGCGGGCGGAUCACCCGAGGUCUGCCCAACGUAGUGAAACCUCGUCUCUACUAAAAAUACAAAAAAUUAGCUGGGCGUGGUGGUGCAUGCCUGUAAUCCCAGCUGCUGGGGAGACUGAGGCAGGAGAAUCGCUCGAACCUGGGAGGCAGAGGUUGCAGUGAGCCGAGAUCCGCGGCACUGUACUCCAGCCUUGGCAACAGAGCAAGACUCUGUCUCAAAAAAUAAAAAU